rnacentral:rRNA from 1 species
GUCGGCGACCGGCGCACGGUGAGUAACGCGUAUCCAACCUUCCCCAUAGUAGAGGAUAGCCCGGCGAAAGUCGGGAUUAACACUCUAUGUUGUGUCAAUGAGGACAUCUGAAUAACACUAAAGAGUUUAUCGCUAUGGGAUGGGGAUGCGUCUGAUUAGCUUGUUGGCGGGGUAACGGCCACCAAGGCGACGAUCAGUAGGGGUUCUGAGAGGAAGGUCCCCCACAUUGGUACUGAGACACGGACCAAACUCCUACGGGAGGCAGCAGUGAGGAAUAUUGGUCAAUGGGCGCGAGCCUGAACCAGCCAAGUAGCGUGCAGGAUUGACUGCCCUAUGGGUUGUAAACUGCUUUUAUCAGGGAAUAAAGUGAGGCCACGUGUGCCUUUUUGUAUGUACCUGAUGAAUAGGGACCGGCUAAUUCCGUGCCAGCAGCUGC